rnacentral:lncRNA from 1 species
GAGUUCUCCUCUAACAUCUCCCGACCAAGACACUGCUGAGGUCACAACUCCCGGUGUCCAAGAUGGCUGUGGAUGCAAAGAAGCCUGCUGACUAGCAGCUCCUCCUGGAGGGUUUUGUGAUAGUAAAGGUGAAGUUUGAGGAAGACCACCUCAGGGAUUAGGAUUUUUACCUUCCAGAGAACCAAUCUCUUGCCUGGGAGACCUUCAGCCAGCAGUUUAGACACUGCUGCUGCUAGGAUUCCUUAGGACCCUGUCUGAACCUGAAAAUUAUGACAUCUAGCAGUCUCUGGGGUGCAAUGUUCAGUGAGAACUUUAAGCAAGGCUGAUUCAACAUGAGAGUCACUAUGAAAAGGCUUAUCCAUUAUGAGACUCAAUGUUAUUAAUCUCUUAUUACAUAAGGAACACCUAGGUGCCACAUUGGAGAGUGAGUCUGCAUGGGUAAUAAAUUCUGAAAAAAACAAGGAUUUACAGAACUUUAUUUGUGA